rnacentral:rRNA from 1 species
GACGAACGCUGGCGGCGUGCUUAACACAUGCAAGUCGUACGGUAAGGCCCUUUCGGGGGUACACGAGUGGCGAACGGGUGAGUAACACGUGAGUAACCUGCCCACAACUUUGGGAUAACGCUAGGAAACUGGUGCUAAUACUGGAUAUGUGCUCCUGCUGCAUGGUGGGGGUUGGAAAGCUCCGGCGGUUGUGGAUGGACUCGCGGCCUAUCAGCUUGUUGGUGGGGUAGUGGCCUACCAAGGCGGCGACGGGUAGCCGGCCUGAGAGGGUGACCGGCCACAUUGGGACUGAGAUACGGCCCAGACUCCUACGGGAGGCAGCAGUGGGGAAUAUUGCACAAUGGGCGCAAGCCUGAUGCAGCAACGCCGCGUGCGGGAUGACGGCCUUCGGGUUGUAAACCGCUUUCAGCAGGGACGAAGCUUUUUGUGACGGUACCUGCAGAUGAAGCACCGGCUAACUACGUG